AGUGAACGCUGGCGGUAGGCCUAACACAUGCAAGUCGAACGGCAGCACAGUAAGAGCUUGCUCUUACGGGUGGCGAGUGGCGGACGGGUGAGGAAUACAUCGGAAUCUACUUUUUCGUGGGGGAUAACGUAGGGAAACUUACGCUAAUACCGCAUACGACCUACGGGUGAAAGCAGGGGAUCUUCGGACCUUGCGCGAUUGAAUGAGCCGAUGUCGGAUUAGCUAGUUGGCGGGGUAAAGGCCCACCAAGGCGACGAUCCGUUGCUGGUCUGAGAGGAUGAUCAGCCACACUGGAACUGAGACACGGUCCAGACUCCUACGGGAGGCAGCAGAGGGGAAUAUUGGACAAUGGGCGCAAGCCUGAUCCAGCCAUACCGCGUGGGUGAAGAAGGCCUUCGGGUUGUAAAGCCCUUUUGUUGGGAAAGAAAAGCAGCAGGUUAAUACCCCGCUGUUCUGACGGUACCCAAAGAAUAAGCACCGGCUAACUUCGUG
rnacentral:rRNA from 1 species